rnacentral:rRNA from 1 species
UACAGAGGUCUCAAGCGUUGUUCGGAUUCAUUGGGCGUAAAGGGCGCGUAGGCGGCGGGGUAAGUCAGGGGUGAAAUCCCGGGGCUCAACCCCGGAACUGCCCUUGAAACUGCAGUGCUAGAAUCUUGGAGAGGCGAGUGGAAUUCCGAGUGUAGAGGUGAAAUUCGUAGAUAUUCGGAAGAACACCAGUGGCGAAGGCGACUCGCUGGACAAGUAUUGACGCUGAGGUGCGAAAGCGUGGGGAGCAAACAGG